GGAGACUGAAUUUUAUUUUAGAAUUACUAGAUAUCCUUUGAACAACUGAACGGAAAAAAACAGCAUUUUGAAACCGUGAUUAUGACAUAAUUGUCUAUUUAAUUUAGACAAUUUAAAACUGGUAGAUUUCAUUUCUAUGAAUUCCUCUUCAGCUUUUUUGGGGAAUACUUUUCAAUUUUGAGAAUAGUUAUUCAAGAAAAAUAAACAAUCUUAUGCAAAUGAAGACGCUUAAAACAGUGAGUUGAAAUAACAAACAUGUUUAAAGAUAUUUAUGACAUGUUUGAGCCCCUAUUGUGUGCCAAAACUCAUGCAAAGGAUUAGGCUAAGUAUUCAUAACAAAACACACACCUACUGUAUAUUUGCAUGAUGGACAAAAAUAUUAACUGUAAGCACUCUUUCAAAUGCAAUGCAUGUUUUAUUAUCUCACUAAAUAUAAUUUAGUACAGGCAGGCACAGAGGCCUACCAGUUUAAGAACUAAGUUGUAUAUAAUAGGUAGGCUCACAUUGGAUUUGGAUUGGAUUUAGGACUAUUUCGGUAUAAUAUGACUGAAAGGGUGUAGGCAGAAGCAAGAUCUACCCCUUAUACUAUACAUCGAGUAUAUUAUACAGAUACACUCUUCAUACAAAUAUCAACACUUCAAUAUAUAUUCACUUUCCCAUGUAAAUGUGUAUUAGUAAAGGUUUUUCACUAGGAGGCAGUAGAGGAACAUUUUUUAUGGCUGAAUCUUCUGAUCGACCCCUCUUCCUACCUCUCAAAGUUUCCCCAGCCAGAGCCAGAGUUUUCAGGGAGUUGUCCCUAAACUUGAAGUUAUUUUCCGAGUAAUUUUUUUUGUUUUUGUGGUCAUCCCAACUAAACGAAUUUAUCUAAAUGGCUUUGUGACAGCAGUAUUCGGAGUACACUUCAUGCAUGUUGUAUUGGGAUGAAGAGUCAAAGAAGUAGGAUGAAUGAACCCAAAAACUCUGUAACAUUGGAUUCUGCUCUGUCAUUGCACAGGGUCAUCACAUGGAUCAAACUUUAUAAGAUUUCCUGUUUCUUUCUGUUUUAUUCCUUUGAGCCAACCUUAACCUCAUGUACUUUAAACAUUUCCAGUCAUUUUCAGGAACUCCAGGCUGCUGGUUGGCCUCUUGGUUUAAGAGUUCCCCCCAUGGGUAUAGAGGCUGCAGCAGUGAAGCUGCAGUCGUGACAGAGUUUUUUUACAUAACGCUGUAAACGUCCAUCAAUGACAUAACAGGGUUUUGAAGUGUUGUCCCACAUUGACGGAAGAAAUUUCACCUCUUCUCCCUGGAGUUCAUACGUGGGACAAAGCAGUGCUCAAAUGCGAGGCGUAGGAGAAAAAAAGGGUUCCUUGCAGCUCUUCAGGGUUUACACCAGUCCCAUGAUAGAAAUGUUAUCUACUCCACUGGCUCACUUUGCUGUUAAUUUAACCAAAUAUUACUUGGUGCAUUCUCAUAUCAACUCACCCUGACUUCAUGCAUGACGAGGAGAGAGGUGGGAAAAACUUGGUGUAAAGUGUAAAAAUAUAAGCUGUAUGUCCAACUCAUCUGAGUUUGACGUGUUAAUCAAGUUACAUGAGUUCUGUGCAUGUGUAAAACAGCUUUCUCUCACCACCAAAAGUAUGCAAGUUGAAGAUUUAUCCGUUGAUUUUUAUUUUAGUUAACUUGACUAAACUUCAGGUUUGUUGUAGCUGUUCUGGGAAAGCUUUCAGGGGAUCCAACACAGCACCCAGGCUUGGUGAACCUCCUCAGAGCCAUGUAUGCAGGGAAAGACAGAAGAGCAAAGAAAACAAGGGGAGGGAAGGAGAGAUGCAAAAUCAAUCAGUUAGACUUUAUUAGUUUGGCAGUUUAAAUACAUCAAAAUGUAACAAAUCAGAAACUAACGCACUGAAGAACUGAGGAAACACUAUCAUGAGUUAAAAACGAGGAAACGCUGGAGGUAAAACCUCGGUAAAACCUCAGAAAGAUAUAAAAAAGACAACUGGAUAGGACUGAGAAAUCAGCUUAGAAAUAAAUAAAUUGAGAUAAGACACAAAGAAAGUUAACAUAAUAAAAGAAUAACAUAUGGCUGAAUAAAGUAGACCACAAUUCAGGGUGAAAACAUUACAGAAUAAAGUAAAAGAAACUGAUGAACAGAGUUACCUGAAGAAGAUCAAACUCAAAAUAAAGUUCUUUAGUUUGCUUUGCUCAAGUCUUUAGGUUCCCAGCUCCUCAGAACUGAAGGCCCUCACAGGAUCAUAUAAUAGAAGCAAAUCUGAUAGAUUGGUUGAUGUAAGGUUGUCAAAGGCUUUAAAAACUAAUAAAAGAACCUUAAAAUCUAUUCUAAAAGAAACUUAGAGCUGAUGCAGAGACUGUAAAAUCUGGGUAAUGUGGGCUCUCUUCCUGGUCUCACAGCUGAGUUUUGGAGGUGCUGAAGCUGGAGGUGCUACAGUAGGAAAAAACUCCAACUGUACUCUACAGAAGCGUUUUGGUCUUACUUCUGUUACACGUCAAAGAGAAAAUCUGAACCAUUUGUAAUGAGUGAAAACAAAAAUAAAUCUGCCAUUGGAAUAAGAUAAGAUAUUUUCCAAUUUCAAGAAGCUGCAAAGUUUUUUUUCAUCUGCUACUGUCAAAUAUAAUAUAAUCUUGAAAAAAGACUUUUUAUCUCGACAGGUCGGGUGAAUAUGGCUUAAUUUUAAUUUUAUUUCCAUCAUCUCCCUGAUUUCACCAUUAGAUGAAAAUUGCAUCUCUGGCGGGAACCUUUUUGCUUUUUAAUACUUUCCAAGAUUUAUAUGAUACAAUGAAAGCAACAUGGGAACAGGUACUGAUUGAUGUGGCACACAGACUUGUAGUCUGUCCGAUUAUCUAUUAUUUUAUUUUUUAUUAUUAUUAUAUCUUAGUGAUCUGCCAUUGAUUUACCACAUAUUCCUCCAGUGUUCAUCCAGUCCUGUCAAACCCUUCUGGGGGGAAACUCAGUUCUGGGGUCAGGAAUUCAGAGAAAGAUCUUGAAUAUGUAGUCCUGGCCUGACAUUCCCAAAUAUCGCUCCAGUCUUCCUUAGAUAUUUUUUGGACAGAUGAGUCAUUAUUAGUCCUAAAUUAAGGAUACAAGAUGUUUGCUGUCUUUGGCUUUAUGUGCAUUAGUAAAGAUACUCCUGAGACAAGGUUCACCGCCCUGUGCUUGUUUAAUGUCUUAAUUAAAAACGGUCUCUGACCUGAAGGAAUCUGAAAAAAUCAAUUUUAGUAAAUUAUCUACAAGGAGGACAAAAUGUAAACAUUAAAUAACAAAAGGAUGAAAUGCAAACUACAUUUGAAGACUGUCUCCUCUAAAUGAUGUGCUGCUGGCUCCUUACUGACUACUGUACAUACAUCAGUUUGUUCAUAGUUCAUUUAACACUGUUUUGCUGCCCCACAUAGGUGAUUUAUUACGAUGUUCAAUGUUCACUGUCAAGGUUCCCAAGGCCGAAACAGUCUGUUCUCCCAAAGAAGCACUUGAACUCUCUUGACCCCACUUAUAGUCUCAUGUAAGUGGAGUCUUGAGGAGCCACAGGUCAAGGUCCCUACUUUCUCUCAGUGAACAUACUGUAACUCCUGUGUUUAACAUGACCAGCUGUUUGGAGCAUUGUUUAACCCCACUCGCUGUCUUUUUUUUCCCCAUCCUCUCCUAGAGUCUUUAAAAAGCAAUGGGCAAUUUUCCAGUGUACUUCCUGCAUCUUCACUAACAAUCCCACCUCACAUGCAUAACACACUCACACACAAACUCACAAUACAGUGUAUGCACAUAUAAACAAACACAAACGCAGGCUCACCUCUGGGGGGUACCCAAAAGUUUCCGGACCGGGCCGGACACAGAAACUCAGGAACUAAUCGGGUGUCAGAAAGGUCCUUGGGCCCCUCUCCGUCACAUUUCCCCGUCCUGUGACUUCGCUUACAGAGCUGUUGUUGCGUAGGCUGUUUUACAGCCCCCAGAAAC
rnacentral:lncRNA from 1 species